UUUUCUGCGGUAAUGUUGGAGAUUUUCAAUAAAUACAAAUUCAUACCGUUUUAGGGUUCUCAGGUGAAAAGAGGCAAUGCAUGAUGGGCAUGUUUUGACUUCAUUUAUUAUGGUUUAUUAUGGUUGCUGCCAUCACCACUAGAUGGCGACUCUAAGAAAAAGGAGGUGAACAAAGGCGUGGAGGCAGUAGAAAAAGAAGCAAAGCAUGAUGUUCUACGAAUGCUGUCUCAUCCACCGAAUAUGUUGCUCACACUUUUGUAGCAAAUUAGCCUCUGACUGAAGAUGGUGUGCGCGGUAAAGACUUCGGCCCCGGCGACUUGUACAACUCAUACUUACCUGGCAGGGGAGAUACCGUGAUCAAGAAGGUGGUUCACCCAGGAUGGCGACUCUAAGAAAAAGGAGGUGAACAAAGGCGUGGAGGCAGUAGAAAAAGAAGCAAAGCAUGAUGUUCUACGAAUGCUGUCUCAUCCACCGAAUAUGUGUGCUCACACUUUUGUAGCAAAUUAGCCUCUGACUGAAGAUGGUGUGCGCGGUAAAGACUUCGGCCCCGGCGACUUGUACAACUCAUACUUACCUGGCAGGGGAGAUACCGUGAUCAAGAAGGUGGUUCACCCAGGGUGAGGCUCAGCCAUUGCACUCCGGUUGUGUUGACCCCUGCGAAUUCCCCAAAUGUGGGAAUCUCGACUGCAUAAUUUCUGGUAGUGGGGGACUGCGUUCGCGCUCUCCCCUGAUCAAAAUGUGAAUGGUAACCAAAUAAUGAUCAACAAUUGCGUUUCAGCCAAAAUAUAAAACGCACCACUUGAUGGCCAUUCUAUGGAAAUGUUUA